rnacentral:miRNA from 1 species
UUCAAGUAAUUCAGUUA